UACGGAGGGUGCAAGCGUUAAUCGGAAUUACUGGGCGUAAAGCGCACGCAGGUGGCUGAGUCAGUCGAUUGUGAAAGCCCUGGGCUUAACCUGGGAAUUGCAGUCGAUACUACUCAGCUAGAGUAUGGGAGAGGGUAGUGGAAUUCCCGGUGUAGCGGUGAAAUGCGUAGAUAUCGGGAGGAACAUCAGUGGCGAAGGCGGCUUCCUGGACCGACACUGACGCUGAGGCGCGAAAGCUAGGGGAGCAAACGGG
rnacentral:rRNA from 1 species